rnacentral:tRNA from 1 species
UGGGGCGUCGCCAAGCGGUAAGGCACCGGUUUUUGGUAUCGGCAUGCGGAGGUUCGAAUCCUCCCGCCCCAGCCA